AGAUUUCAGUUUAGUUUAGUUUUAGAAGGCGUCAACGAGCCGGGACCCUUUUGCAUAAUACACUUGUCGAUUCUCGUUCCUCUCAAAAAUAAAAUCACAUUUUACUUACCAGUAGUGGUCAACUAGAAUCAGUUCAAUCCACUCGGAAUCGUUUUUGAUUUUAUUCUUUUUGAAAGACCCAUAAAAAAUGUUGCUUAUUAAAUACAUUAGACCAACGAGAAUUCCGAUUACGACGUUAAAAAAACCUGGAUUGAUUUCGACUUUAAUCGAAAUCAAUAAAGUCACGUGUCUUUUUGUUGUUGCACAUCAAAUUGGGGAUUUCUUCGCAAGGUUUCAAUAAAGAAAAGCCUGAAACGAGACGAUUAUCAAUUGGGAUUAUGAUGGAAACGAUGUCGAAAACGAACGAAAUAAUUUAUCUUUAUUAAAAAUAAUGUGAAUAGAAUUAGUUUUUAAGUUAAUUAAUUAAAAUACAAAUUCAA